rnacentral:rRNA from 1 species
UACGUAGGCAGCAAGCGUUGUUCGGAAUUACUGGGCGUAAAGAGUGUGUAGGCGGUGUCCUCAAGUCUGGUGUGAAAUCUCCCGGCUUAACUGGGAGGGUGCAUUAGAAACUGGAAUGCUAGAGGAUGGGAGAGGUAAGCGGAAUUCCUGGUGUAGCGGUGAAAUGCGUAGAUAUCAGGAGGAACACCUGUGGUGUAGACAGCUUACUGGACCAUUUCUGACGCUGAGACACGAAAGCGUGGGUAGCAAACAGG